rnacentral:lncRNA from 1 species
GGUUGACCUUGUGCUCUUGCUAGCAUCUUGUGUGCAGCUGUGAACAGCUGUGUGAGUGCCAGUUAAGCUGUGAUAGCAUCACUGCGGAGACAGAUAAAGGGCAAUUCAUUCACAAAGCACUAUUCAAAGGGUCUCACAGGUGUGUUCUGAGGAUUGGUUUUCUGCUGUCUCCUUUCCAUCUAAAAUUUAUAGCGAAUUAAGGUGAUUGGGUAAUAUAAUUCUGCCAGAAUUAUAGGUCUUCUCCCCAGGAAUGGUGUUUUAGGAGUACUUGCUCUGGCAGCCAUACACAAAUAUGAAAUAGGGAAAAGCAUUUGUCACUUGACAAAGAGGAUUAGCUUCUGACUCGCUGGAGUGAUUCUUUGACCAUGUAUUCAUUCCCUUAUGAAUAAGCCUCAGUUUUCCCCCCCUGGUAGAAGAAAGCACAAAAUGUGCCAAAGAGAGUGGCCCUUUCAGAGAACAGCUUUAUUUAUCACCCUUAUUUGCAAUUUUACUCCCGUAAAAGAAGCCAUCAGCUGUUCAUCCAUUGACUACAAAUGGUCAGCUCCUUUGGUGAACAAGGACGGGGUCAGAUGCUAACUAGCAGUGAAGGGACAAAAUGAGGUGAGAAAAGGGCAUCUUGUAAAAAGAGAUUGAAAUGGCAUUUGGAUGUUUAUUUUAAACAAGCUUCAAUUUGCUGCUUGAAGGAAAAAUCGCAUAUAUGAAACGCCGUCUUGAGAAAUGGAGUUAGAAGAUAAAGCAGUAAAAUUAAAAUUGGAUGGAAAUUCUAGGUCAGUGUCUCAAAUGUUGGUCCAGUACAUGGGCCACCUCCUUGGAAUCAGUUGCCUAGUGAACUUGGUAAAGCUGCAGUUUUCCUGGUUCCCCUUGUGGCUGCAGAAUCACUGGGAGGGGGGGCCUGAAUUUUUCUAACCGACUUACCCAGGUGAGUCCAGGCUACACAGCUAGACUUUGGAAUUACUGGUAGAUCCCAGGCGAAACAAGCAAACAAAUAAAAAGCAAAGCAGAUGAAAUAUUUAGGAGCAGGAAACUGGAAACAGAACCAUAAAAAUGCGAUAGCCGGGCUGACCCUCUGUAUGGAGCCAAACCAAUAAGUAAUAAUUUAUAAUUAAUAGAUAGCAAUUAUUUGAAGACUUACUAGGUAUCCAGGGCCAAUCCAAACGCUUUCUAUUACUUAAAUUUUUAAUCUUUAAAUUGUAAGGAACUUCAUGGGUGAGGUACGACCCGUGAAGGCCCCUGCACACAUGAGACACAGGCAUUUUAAGGCACUCAGAGAAGAUUACACAGCUGGUAGGUGGCCGAGCCAGGCUUCAGACUCAGGCAGUCUGGCUCCAGAACCUAUGUGCUAAAUUUUGACCAGAUACUGUCUUUCCUGUGCAAAUGCAAAUGCCAGGGAAACAAUGUGUAUUAAGGCAGUGCCUUUCCUCAUGCAGCCAUUGGUUCCUCAUAGUGGCCACAGGGAAGUGGGACUUCUUCCAGGGUGCGUCAGGGUUCCAGUGAGUAGGUGGGGGCUGACUGAACCAGCUUUGAAAGUGUCACCUCCACUAUACUCUGUCAGUUAAAGCAGUCACAAACACAUGCAGAUUCAAGAGGAGGGGACCUAACUCCACCUUUGAGGAGUGUCAAAGAAUUUGGAGCCAAGGUUUAAAAUCACCAUGUGGUUAACGUUUAUUGAGUACUUUCUACAUGCCAGGCACCGUGCCAAAUGCUUUACCGAGGGUAUUUCAUUUCAAGUUCAUCACAAUGGUAUGAAAUAUGUGCUAUUAUUACCCCAGUUUACAUAUAGGGAACAAAAGGCUUAGGGAGGAUGUGUAACUUGUCCAGCGUCACCAGUAAGUGGCCACACUGGGAAUUGAACCCAGAUUUGUGGGAUUUCAAAGCUUAUGCCUAAGCUGUAUGACCUUGAUAUUGUUCUUUCUAACUCAGCCCCGAUUCCUGACCCAGUGUGCAUAGUAGGCUCAUUCUAAGUGUUUGUGGAAGGGAAGAAAGUUUCAGCAACUAUACAUCUAAGGGACCUCAAAUACAGACUUUUGCAGGCAAUAUCAUGGUCAGCAACUACUACAUUCUCUUUUGCCCUUGUCAGAAGAGGAAUCCUUAGGAAUGAAUGGCUGCAUGGACCUCAGGCCUGGCACUGAUAUUUCUCAUGUAAUUGUUCACAGAAUUCCCUCCCCCUGGUGACCUCAUCUCCAAGGCCUUCUGCCUGGAUGCUGACUUCAAAGAAACAGGACAAAUAUUCUUUGGAAAAUACUUCUGAAUCGAAGUUCUCUCAGAUGCAGGAAGAAUAUCACAAUUUGGAAGCAUUCGUUCUCAGGAAUGUGGACAAAUAUCUUUUGACUACAUUUUACAACUUAUACUGAUCAGAAGAGUAAUCAAUGGUGUUUAAACUCAGUUUUAUUUUCAUGUACCCACUCAUCCAACAAACAUACAGAACAUCUACUAUGUGCCAGAGAUGAUGUUGGAUUAUGAAGACAUGAUGGUGAACAAGACAGAGAUGGUCUCUUCCCUCACAGAGCUUGUGGUCUAGUGAGGGAGACACAGUGAAACUAAGACUGUAAUGCUCUGACUCCCCCCUCAGCUGAGGGAUAGCUGGAUUAGCUGAUGUGGCAUCUGGAAACCAGGAAACCAAGAUUUCUGCUCACUGUUCCAAUGCUCUAUCCAUGAACUUGGGCUUCCAUGGAUAGAUAACUCAAGGGCUAAAGACAAUAACAGAUUUGAUUGAUUUGCUUAGACAACAAAGCCUGAAGACUUGAACACUCUUAAAAAAGAAACAAAGAAACAACACUCUAAUUAAACGCAGAAAACCAUUUUUUGGCCUCAUUGCCUCAAUUUCAUCAGGAUGGCCUUGAAAGUGUGUGGAACAAUGAGUCAAUCAAUUAAUGAGGGAGGUUUUAAAAUUUCAAUUAUAGUGAAAAUGGUUAAAACAUGUUAAUGGACAACUGUCAGUAAAUUGACUGAAAUUUCAAUCUCAAAUGUCUAAAUAGGCACAUUUAGACAAUUGGUCCUGUCAACGUAUCAGGUUCAGACUACCAUGUUAAUAGGAUAGAAGGAUAAUUAAAUGAGUAUUUUGGACAUUUGUGCCUAUCCUUGCCUUCAAAAAAACAAAUACAGGUGCUUUAAUGGGCUUAUAGGGGAGACCAUCAUCAACUUAUUUUACUCCUUGAGAUUUUCCCUGGUUUGUAGGAUUAAGCUGAAUAUAACUUUCUGAAUAUAAAAUUGUCAUUAGAUUGGACGAUACAAACCAAUACUUGACUAUUUUUGACCCAUAAGAAGAGAAAUUCCAUAAGAUUUAAAACUAAUGCAUUGAAGAGAGGAGCAGAGAUAGAAUAAUUCAUCUUUUCAAUUUAUGUUUCAAUAAUUGAUGCCCAAUAGGUCAUCUCUUGAUUAGAAACAGAAUUCAGGUUCACUAUUCACAUAAUAACCUAGCUAUUCAUCAUGCAUUUACAGUCAUGCAUUGCUUAAUAAUGGGGAUACCUUCGUAGAAAUGUGUCGUCAGACAACUUUGUCGUCAUGUGAACACAAUAGAGCGUACUUACACAAACCUAGAUGGUACAGCCUACAACACACCUAGGCUGUGUGAUACUAAUCGUAUGGGACCACCAUUGUAUAUGUGGUACCCUUGUUGACCGAAAUGUUGUUACGGGGUGCAUGACUGUACAAUGUAUCAGGCCCCAGCUUAAGAAUUAAGCAUUACUUCAUUAACCUCAUUUAAACUUCACAACAGCAGUAUGAAGAGAGUAUUUCUCCUUUCCAUUUUGAAGAUGAGAAGACUGAGGCUGAGAGGGUUUGGAUAACUUGCCACGAAGAGGUACAGUCAGGUUUCAGAUUCAGGUCUGCAAAAUUCCAAAGCUUUUGUUCACCUGCCAUCCAACAGCUACAGGUCAAUGGUGAAGAAGGCGCUCAUUCUCUCAUGUUGUGACUCCCAUCCAAAAUUGGCACUCUCCCACAUUACAUCCGUUCACUGCCUCUGGGCCACAUGGCACGUCGUAGGGGUUGUCUUUUAUGGUCUGAGUCCAUUUGUCAUAUUAAUUCAUUGAAUCAUGAGAAAUCUUUCACACUUCUGCUACACAAAAUAUUUUUGUCUUCAAAUGAGCCAAUCUGCCAAAAUCUCUACAAAAAAAGUUGUUUUUCUGGUUUCUUAUUCAUCAGAGGAAAAUUCUGACUGGCCAUUUUAAAAAAAGAAGUAAGCUCUUAAUGAAUCAAUCAAGCCAGUCAAUACCACCAGGCCCAAGAAAAGAAAGAUAUUAAAAAUGUCUCAAAGAAAGAACUCACCAAUUUAGAGUGACUGAAGGGAGAGACAAUCCUGAAUUAAUAAAAUGUCUUAAUUAAGGUAUGAGUUAAACGAAAGAAAGUCUUACUAUCUGUUUCAUAUCUGAUGGAUGAAUGAAUCAAUCAAAUUGGAGUGUGGGACGUAUGAAAUGAUUUGAACUGGGCCAAAAUAGAACCAUGUAGAGGUCUCCUUAGGCCUAUUUCGAUAAGACCAAGGUUAUUUGAAUCGUUUUUGAUUUACUUAUAGUUCAAGGUGCUGCUACAGUUUUGGAAAAAGAUAGUUCUUGUAAGCUGGUAAACCUUCCCCUUGCAAUCUUUUUGUACUGUACUCGCUCUUUAGAUAUGUGUGUGUGUGUGUGUGUGUGUGUGUGUAAUCUCACGAAGAUAAUGAACUCCCCAGACUCAAUACAAAUAAUUACAAAUUUUGAAUUGUUGGGAGUGGAAUUCAUGAAGUCUUUUUAUAUAGACGAACUUAAAAAAUAACUAAAAAAGGACUACUGAGUACGGUUCCUUCUCUCCAUUUGAACCAGUCACAUUUUUUUUCCAUCAGAUUUAUCACUUUUUUCACACCAAUAACAUGGGAAACUGAAUUCUAAUUUGAAGUGCUGGUAUUCAUUUGUGGCUUGGUAAAGCAUUUAGUCCUACCUCCAAUGUCUGUCUGGAAGAAAUAUUCAUCUAACUUAGAUAAAACAGGUGAACUAGCCCACAAAUAAGAAUGAAUAAUCUUGGAGGGAGAAAAAAACAUAUAAAUAAAUAUGAAUGUAUUUAUAUAUCUAUUGCUCAUAACAAAUUAUCCCAGAUUUUAGGGCUUAAGCCAACAAACAUGUAUUAUCUCACAUUUUCUGUGGGUCAGGAAUCUGGAAGCAAUUUUAGUAGGGUGGUUCUGGCUCAGGGUGUCUCAUAAGUCUGCAAUCAAGGCAUCAGUCAGGAGACAGCAACCUAAGGUAUGCCUGAGGUAGAAGGACAGAAGGGAGGAACUGAAAAUGAAUCCAAGAUGGAAGCUAAUCUUUUUAUAACCUAAUUUUGGAAAUAACAUCCUGACACUUCUGCCAGAUACUGUGUGUUAGAUGUGAGUCAGUAAGCCUGGUCCACACUCAAGGAGAACGGGUUCCACAAGGACAUUAUACCAACAGGACCAUCUUAGAGGCUGCCCCUCACAGUAACUUUCUUCUGUGCUGAUACCUACAUUCUGGGGACUAUCUAGAGGUUGUCAUCUCUGCAAAGCAUGUCCUUGGGACACUAGCAGGAGAAAUAAAACAAGGAGUAAAAGUAUGUAAACCAUAUUUUGGUGCUUGGUUAUUUUUCCUCCUGUGAAUCUUUCCCUUAAGCCACUUAAAGAAGAAGAUUCUGUUCACAGAUAUUGUAACUGUUCAGCCAGCAUUGACAGCCCAGAGACACACAUGUGUUGGUCAUUCCCAUCGUAUGACUUGAGAGGAGUCAGAGACCUCCACUCACAGCAUCUUAAAAGAAGCUGUAUGAUCCUUGGGGUAUAAGACACACAUUCUCAAGGGGGGCAAUAUCACCCUAAGGGUCCAAAAAUGGUGUUUGAAGGAUAAAUAGUUCUUUUUGUAUGUCUAAAGCACCAAUGAGCACACAGUACAUAAACAGAUAUUCGGUAUAUCUGUGGUAUUAAAAUUUUAUCGGGGGAGUGAUUAGGAAAGAAAAAUGCCUCCAAAAGCUCCUUUGGGAGAGGGGUGAUAAGAGAAAGGUUGAUAUAAACUUUAUAUAAAACAAGCCAGGGGCCGGCCUGGUAGCGCAG